rnacentral:rRNA from 1 species
UGGGGAAUAUUGGACAAUGGGCGAAAGCCUGAUCCAGCCAUGCCGCGUGUGUGAAGAAGGUCUUCGGAUUGUAAAGCACUUUAAGUUGGGAGGAAGGGCAGUAAGCGAAUACCUUGCUGUUUUGACGUUACCGACAGAAUAAGCACCGGCUAACUCUGUGCCAGCAGCCGCGGUAAUACAGAGGGUGCAAGCGUUAAUCGGAAUUACUGGGCGUAAAGCGCGCGUAGGUGGUUCGUUAAGUUGAAUGUGAAAGCCCCGGGCUCAACCUGGGAACUGCAUCCAAAACUGGCGGGCUAGAGUAGGGCAGAGGGUGGUGGAAUUUCCUGUGUAGCGGUGAAAUGCGUAGAUAUAGGGAGGAACACCAGUGGCGAAGGCGACCACCUGGGCUCAUACUGACACUGGGGUGCGAAAGCGUGGGGAGCAAACAGG